rnacentral:tRNA from 1 species
GCGUUAUAAAUCUCAAUGAUACAAAGAACCUCAAACUUCGAAUCUGAAGGUCGGGGGUUCGAAUCCCUCAAGGCGCGCCA